AGCUACUAUUUUUAAUGAAAAAAAUUGAAUCAAUUAUUGGGAAGAAGAGAUUUUUUUAAUUCCACAAAUGAAGAGGCCCACUAGUAGCCUUCAAUUUUCUGAAAUGAUUAAUUUCAGAAGACAUAGGAAGUUGAUUGAGACAGAGACAACUCAGAAAGUUUUGAUAUAUCUUUCAACUUGGAGUGAAACUGCUGCUAAAGUAGAUUUUAAACAGUUGAACAUUUAGAAAAGAAAGGGGAGAAGACUGAGAGAUAUACAUGUGAUUUAUAAAUGGAGACAAAAGGGGUCCUUUAUGAGAAGAAGAGAAGAGACACGGAAGCAAAGGCACACAGGAAGAUGUGAUGAUGGAGGUAGACAUUGGAAUGAUGUGUCUAGAAGUCAAGGAAUGCCAAAGAUUGCCAGCAAACACCAGAAGCUGGGAGAAUCAAGGAAGGAUUCUCCACUGCAGGUUUCAGAGGGAGCAUGGCCCCGCCAACAUCUUGAAGUCAGACUUCUAGGCUCCAGAACUGUGAGACAAUAAAUUUCCAUUGUUUUAAGCC
rnacentral:lncRNA from 1 species